AAUACUGAAUCAAUACACAGAACUUUAUUG
rnacentral:piRNA from 1 species